rnacentral:rRNA from 1 species
GAUGAACGCUAGCUACAGGCUUAACACAUGCAAGUCGCGGGACCGGCGCACGGGUGAGUCACGCGUAUCCCACCUGCCCUUCACCGCGUGAUAACCCGGCGAAAGUCGGAAUAAUACCGUAUGGUGGAUGAUGAGGAUGCGUUCGCUUAGCUUGACGGCGGGGUCACGGCCCGCCGUGGCUCCGUACGGGAGGGGGUCUGAGAGGAAGGUCCCCCACACGGGAACUGAGACACGGUCCAGAAUCCUACGGGAGGCAGGAGUGAGGAAUAUUGGGCAAUGGGCGUAAGCCUGAACCAGCCAAGUAGCGUGCAGGACGACGGCCUAUGGGUUGUAAAUUGCUUUUAUGCGGGGAUAGGUACCGCAUGAAUAAGGACCGGCUAAUUCCGUGCCAGCAGCCGCGGUAAUUC